rnacentral:rRNA from 1 species
GACGAACGCUGGCGGCGUGCUUAACACAUGCAAGUCGAACGGAAAGGCCCUGCUUUUGUGGGGUGCUCGAGUGGCGAACGGGUGAGUAACACGUGAGUAACCUGCCCUUGACUUUGGGAUAACUUCAGGAAACUGGGGCUAAUACCGGAUAGGAGCUCCUGCUGCAUGGUGGGGGUUGGAAAGUUUCGGCGGUUGGGGAUGGACUCGCGGCUUAUCAGCUUGUUGGUGGGGUAGUGGCUUACCAAGGCUUUGACGGGUAGCCGGCCUGAGAGGGUGACCGGCCACGUUGGGACUGAGCUACGGCACAGCCUCCUACGGGAGGCAGCAGUGGGGAAUAUUGCCCAAUGGGAGGAAGCAUGAUGCAGCAACGCCGCGUGCGGGAUGACGGCCUUCGGGCUGUAAACCGCUUUCGCCUGUGACGAAGCGUGAGUGACGGUAAUGGGUAAAGAAGCACCGGCUAACUACGUG